rnacentral:rRNA from 1 species
UAGCCGCGUGUGUGAAGAAGGCCUUCGGGUUGUAAAGCACUUUGUCCGGAAAGAAAUCGCGCUGGCUAAUAUCCGGCGCGGAUGACGGUACCGGAAGAAUAAGCACCGGCUAACUACGUGCCAGCAGCCGCGGUAAUACGUAGGGUGCGAGCGUUAAUCGGAAUUACUGGGCGUAAAGCGUGCGCAGGCGGUUGUGCAAGACAGGUGUGAAAUCCCCGGGCUUAACCUGGGAACUGCAUUUGUGACUGCACGGCUAGAGUGUGUCAGAGGGGGGUAGAAUUCCACGUGUAGCAGUGAAAUGCGUAGAUAUGUGGAGGAAUACCGAUGGCGAAGGCAGCCCCCUGGGAUAACACUGACGCUCAUGCACGAAAGCGUGGGGAGCAAACAGGAUUAGAUACCCUGGUAGUCCACGCCCUAAACGAUGUCAACUAGUUGUCGGGGAUUAAUUUCCUUGGUAACGCAGCUAACGCGUGGAGUUGACCGCCUGGGGAGUACGGUCGCAAGAUUA